CAAAGCUUUCACUGAACUGAAAAGGUGGCUUCUGAAAACAUCAUAAAUCAAUGUUAUGCUUCCCAGAUAGCUUACCACAAGGGACUCCUAGAACCUAAUGUUAUGUCUGCUACGUGGUGGUACAUGUUAUUUCUGCUACAUUGUUCCCGGCACAAAUGCUUCUCUGUGGUUGUGCACCCAAGCCACGAUGGAAAGGUGCUGCAGGUAAAGUAUCAACUUCGUAAGUUCCCAGACAAUGUGGCUACCGGUCCUACCAAUGGCUGAGACCCCUGUGAAGCUGCUAUGCUCAUGUGGGAUAUUAGGUGACCCAUCUGAUCAGUGCUUUAGGCAUUAUAAAAUGGAUGCAGGAUCCUGAUUAUAAGGAGUUCUCUUUGUGGUGGCGAACCUAUUGUGCUAUAGACAAGGGAUGAGGAAAUUGUGACUCUCCAGAUGGUGUUAAUCUACAGCUCCCAUCAUCCCUAACUAUUGGGCAUGCUGGCUGGGGUUGGGGUUCAACAACAUCCAGAGGGCCACAGCUUCUCCAUCACUGCUAUUGAGCAAUAAAAUAGUUCUUCCCCUACAGCUCCCGAGCCUCUCGGACUCUAAAAGGCCCAUUUUAAAUGAGACCGUCUUGGCUGUGAGCCCUGGAAGACCUGCACCCUGCCUUACUGGCCCUUUCCCAUCUGGCCUGGGAGAGUGGAGUGCUGGCUGACUCCAGCUACAAAAGCUGAGGCUGUUGAACAGAUUCUCUGGCUGGAGUAUUGUUUAUGGGGCGUUGAGAGAGAGCUGUUGCUGUUAUUGAUAUUAUUGUUGUAUCUUUAGUUUUAGAUCUUAUGAUUUAUGUGGAAAUUGUUUCCAUUAGGUUGUGUACUUUUUGAUGUGUUUCAUUUAUUGUUUAUGACUUCUGUUAUGUUUGUAAUUAUCUAAAUCUUGUCAUGUUGUAAGCCGCCUUGAGCAUAGUUUCAACUAUGGAAAGGCGGUAUACGAAUAAGAUGAUGAAGAUGAUGAUUUGCAUCCUAUUGCAUACAGUGGGAUUUUGCACUCGGAAGCAUUGCUGCAGCUGCCAAGAAACAUAAUCCAGCCUACUCAUUACCUUUUAUAAAAUAUAAUAUGGGGGGGGUUUGCCUGUUUUCCUCUGCUGUUGGCUUCAGUUCAUGGUUGCAUAACUGCUGACAGUGUCCCUGGAAAUGAUGGCUGGAACGGUGCAGCGAGUCUGCCCUAAAGGAAGGACCCCAUGGCCUUUUGAUGCUUAUGAGCUUCGUGCUGUCAAGGAGGCAUUUGAAAUGCCUCUUUGGAGACUGCAGGGCUACGUUGCCUCAGAGCAAAGAAAACGUCUUGCCAAACUGGAAUUUAAAGAGGAUGCGAACUCUCUAGAUCCCAAGCCGCAAGCUGCAAAUGUGAUGAGUCAGAUGAGAUCUCAGGCAAGAAAGCCUCAAAGGAUGACAAAUACAUCACUGAUUUGCAUGAGGAAGGAGAGGCUUCCCACAAAAUUCAACAGUUCUGAAAACCCUUAUAAUGAGAUAAUGCUUAAAAACUUUGGUUCUGCACAUACAGGAGCUGGAUAACCCAGGUUUCAUUAUAGCUGUUUUCCUGACAUUGCCAAUUCUUACUUGGCACGUAAUAGGAAACCCCCCCUUCACAUUUUUUGUUUUUUGUUUUUGUUUUGCAAUUCUAGACCUCAUGAUGACAGACAGACAGACAAGCACACACAUGUGCAGGUAGCUGAAAACAUGUCUUUGCCCAUCACCAGAAAAUAUUAUUUGGAAUCUUGAUGCCAAAUGCAUGUGUGGUUAUUUCGACAAUUGCAUUGCUUGUUCAUUGCCAUACACCUUCAGUUAGCCAGGGAAACUGGUUUCAUUCUCCUUUGGCUUCUAAUUCUUAAACUAUUUGUCAUUUGAUGUUAGUUGCAUUUUACUGUUACCUAUGAUUAUUUUAGCCUUGUGAGCUAUUCAGAUAACAGUGUACUGAGCAGCCUACGUAAAUUGCAUAAACAAAACAAAAGCUGAAGAUUUAGAGGUGAUGUGGUCUGGUAUAAGAUUUGUUGUUUUAGCUAGGCAGUAGUGAUAUGAUCCAAACCUACGUGCCACGGAAGAUCCAGCACCAAGGGCCAAGCUAUGUGUUAUGCUAAAUGUGCAACAUGCAGCAAUGCCUUGGUUUUCGCUUUAAUUAAUUACAGGUGUGGGUGGCGGUUUUUAUUAGGACAGCAGUAUAAGGGGCUGGUGAGAGCUUUAUAAUAUUUAUUCCUUCCCCUGUUGUAACUGGGAUGAAUCCCCCUCUCACUGCACCUCUUUGGCCUUAAAAUAAUAGUUCCCAUUACAACCACCAGAAUUAUUUUCUAAGUAUCAUAGCCACAACGGGUGAGGGGAAUAAAUUUUUAUCCCAGUAAUGGCUCAGGAGGAGAGGUAUAAACUCUCUCUACCUAAGUGCUGUGGUCCUAAUAACAGUCCCAUACCCUGCAUCUGCAGUUAAUUAAAAGAAAAGUAUUAAAAGUGUGUAGUAGGGCCUUCAAAUACUGGACACGUAGUUUUAAAAUAUUUUUAUUCACCGAACCUUAAGAACACCGUGUCAGUUUAUUUGCUUAGCUCCGGAGACAUAACAGUGUGAGGAAUUUGGAGCCAGGCUUUCCAUUUCCAUUUCAAAAAUGAAAAAUAGCGUGACACGGGAGCUUAUUUUGACUCUGUCUAUAAAAACAACAGUUACUGUUAUGAGGUGGCAUUCAUAAAACCCAGCGGUGCUUUUGGAUUGACAAAUUUAUGUGUAUUCUUUAAGUGAUUUAAUGCAGCAUUUCUUAGAUCUCAGUCAUUCUCUCUCUCUCUCUUCAAGAUCUGAAAAGAGGCACUGAGACAAUUUCAUUAUAAACCAAAGGGCUUGGGAAUGGUACCUUAUUUAUUAAUAUGCGAUGCAGCCCCUGAGGAUCCUGUCAAUGCCGAAAAGAAAAACCCUCAAAGUAAAACUGGAACAAAACACAAAAUGGCCCUGCUUUAAAAGAACACGCUUCCUUACAGCCAAACUAGAUACAAACCCACACACCCUUACGCAUGCUCUACUUGCGACUGUGUAUAUGCAUGGCACCAGGGAAAAAAUAAUUUAAUUCAUAUCUGGAAAUGGCGGGAGAGAGCUGGUGAGUCCUCAUGGUUCAUGAGGAGACCCUCCCUGGAAUCCGAAGAGUAUGUCAGUGAGGGCAGAGGGAGCCCUGAAGAGACUGGGAGGCUCAGGGGGGCUUUGUUUAGGCUGCUCAGCCUCCCUGCCCAGCAGCUGGCACACAGGAUCACAUCCUCCAGCUUUCAGGCAGCCCCAGAGCAUCAACUCUAGAUAUUUUGGCCUGGACUGGGGAGAGAGAGCAGGAGAGAGAGAGAGCUGAAGAGCAAGAGAAUAAUGGGCAUUUAGAGGAUUUUAAGAAGUUGUUUAGAGGGCGCUCUCCAUUUUGCACAAUUUCUCUUAUGUGUGGGGCCCGUGUAAGUGGAGGGACACCUUAAAAUCAAAGAACAACGAUCAACUGUUAUUUCCUUAAAUACACUAUUUAAGUGGAGACAAGGGGCAUGCCAAUUACGAUUGGGACCACAAUAUUGAUGUUGCUCUGUCUCAGCUGUCUAGGGCAGGAAUCCUUGCACCUAUUACUUUUCCCUAGCAGAUUCCAAAGGAUGGGUCAAUUUAUGUUAGGAAAAAUUGUCCAGUAUAACCCUUUCCACCAUGCUGCCCCUUUGAACCAGUUGUCCCCACCAGCCAGAUCUUGUCCGGAAGUGAAUGGUGAUUUCGCCUGAGGACAUGGAGAGUGAAUGAUGAAACGAUAACUCAAUUGAUUUGAAGUUCAACUCAAAAAGCAUCCUUAACUACAUUAUUCCACAAAAUGUGGGUCAUUUUGUGCAGCCACAACAGCAUCUCCAAUCAGCUGCUCUGCUAGCGACUAGCGUCCCUGUAUCACUGUUGCUGACUGGGAUCCUCCAGAUUUUGGGACUCCAGCUCCCAUCAUCACUGGUCAUUGGCCAUAUUGUUGGGGUGGCUGGGAGUUGGAGUCCAACAACAUCCAGAGGACCCCAGGUUCGCCACCCCAAGGCAGCAGGAAGACUCUCUUCGCCAUGGACAGCUCUGAGGCACCACACAACUACUUCCAGUAAACUGAGUUGCAGGGAUCAGUUAAGGAUCAAGAUAUAUGCAGCAGUCUAUAACCAGUUCCCGGUUACCGUAUUUUUCGCUCUAUAAGACUCACUUUUUCCCUCCUAAAAAGUAAGGGGAAAUGUGUAUGCGUCUUAUGGAGUGAAUGCAGGCUGCGCAGCUAUCCCAGAAGCCAGAACAGCAAGAGGGAUUGCUGCUUUCGCUACUCAGCAAUCCCUCUUGUUCUGGCUUCUGAGAUUCAGAAUAUUUUUUUUCUUGCUUUCCUCCUCCAAAAACUAGGUGCAUCUUGUGGUCUGGUGCGUCUUAUAGAGCGAAAAAUACGGUAAUUCAUUUCUACAAAAUGCAGCCACAGAAGCAGCAAAUUAACAUAAAAAACCAGCAUGAGCAAAGGGGUUUCAUCACUCUUUUCCUCUUUUUUUUUUGGUAACAAGCUUUAUUAAUAGUCUUACGAUACAUUACAUAUAUAUAUAGUACAUCUCUUAAAGUAAAUUGAAAUUUCAAUCGUGUACACAAAAAAAGAAAAAACCCAUAUACUUAUUUUCUCUUACAUAAUUAUGAACCUUAAGCUUCAGCUGUAUUUAUGCUGCUUUUUAUGCGAUUAUUAACAAAAAUAUCAUAAAGACUUUGGACUUCCUGUCAAUUCCCAUUGUAUGAUUUUAUUCUUAUAGUGAAUGUACCUAUCAUUAUUAAUCUAUUCUUUAUAUAUUCUCUUUCAUCACUCUUUUCCUUUCUGCCAUUUAUCUAUAAAAAUUCUUCCCAACCUCCUUUCUGUCCCACAGGUUGAAAGAUGCAGGUACCUCAGAAGCUGGGACAGGAUUAUUUUUACAGCACGAGGGAAGGAUUUUGUAAAAUGGGAGUAGCUAACAUUUUCCAGGCCAAGGAUAGCAUUGGCCCAAUGCCAACCAGGGGGAUCACAUGUCAAAGUGAGUGUAGCUGAAACGUAAAAGUGGGUGUGGCCAAUUUUGAUUAUUAUUUUUUAAAUGAUUUUUGAGGGAGAGCUAUAAACCUUUUGGCAUCACAGAAUCACAGCAGAGAAUGCAUGAGAGUGGUAGCAAACAUAAUUAUUUUAAAACUUUUUAAAAAAAAUUGAGGGCCCCCCUCAAAUGACACUAUCACAGUGGGAUAUGAAUGGAAGUAGUCAGUGGCCAAAAAACCUUUUGGCAUUGUGGCAUCACAGUGCGGGAGCUGGGGGAGCAGUUAAAAAAAUGUGCUUAAAUUUAAUUUUAAAAUUUAAGGUCUUAGCUGGAUAUCUUUUGUAUCACCUCCUGCCUGAGCCAUUUUAUCUGCUGAUGCCGGGAAUUGAACUUGAAGCCUCCUGCAUGCAAACCAUAUGCUUUACCCCCUGAGCUACGUCCCCUUUCCACCUCCAAGGUGCCCAGCCUCACAGAAGUAGCCUUCCAUUAUUCUCUCAACCACAAUCUACAUUUUUCUUUCAGAUCCUGCCUGCCCCACCAUCUUCACAUUAGCUGCCAUCAUUUUUACAAACCGAUUAAAGGUUAGACCGAGGCAAGGAAUGUGAUGCUUGGCAUAACCUGCUAGAAUUUCGGAUGGAUAUGUGAUCUUUGCUGCUAAGAAUUACAAGAGGAAGUGUGUGAAGUGCUCUGCACAUUCGAAAUCAAUAUAUACAUGCUAGAUACUGCUAUUAUUAAAAACAGCAGGGAGGCGGAUUGCAAAAUCCAAUUUAAGGCCUUUACUAAGACUCUUGGUGCAAGAAGACCUUGGACCUUAUACGGCUAGCAUGCUGCAGUUUCCUUCCUGGCAGCGCACACAUUUCUUUCAAGUUUCUCC